rnacentral:rRNA from 1 species
AUUGAACGCUGGCGGAAUGCUUUACACAUGUAAGUCGAACGGCAGCACGGACUUCGGUCUGGUGGCGAGUGGCGAACGGGUGAGUAACAUAUCGGAACGUAUCCAAUAAUGGGGGAUAACGAGUCGAAAGAUUCGCUAAUACCGCAUACGCCCUACGGGGGAAAGCUGGGGACCUUCGGGCCUGGCGUUAAUGGAACGGCCGAUAUCUGAUUAGCUAGUUGGUGAGGUAAAGGCUCACCAAGGCGACGAUCAGUAGCUGGUCUGAGAGGACGACCAGCCACACUGGAACUGAGACACGGUCCAGACUCCUACGGGAGGCAGCAGUGGGGAAUUUUGGACAAUGGGCGCAAGCCUGAUCCAGCCAUUCCGCGUGAGUGAAGAAGGCCUUCGGGUUGUAAAGCUCUUUCGCAAGGGAAGAAAACUUAGCCACUAACAUUGGUUGAGGUUGACGGUACCUUGAUAAGAAGCACCGGCUAACUACGUGCCAGCCGCCGCGGUAA